UAUUUAUUAUCGGUAAUUCUGAGGCGUAAGCGCGCGUAGGUGGCUUGAUAAGCCGGUUGUGAAAGCCCCAGAGGCUCAACCUGGGAACGGCAUCCGGAACUGUCAAGCUAGAGUGCAGGAGAGGAAGGUAGAAUUCCCGGUGUAGCGGUGAAAUGCGUAGAGAUCGGGAGGAAUACCAGUGGCGAAGGCGGCCUUCUGGACUGACACUGACACUGAGGUGCGAAAGCGUGGGUAGCAAACAGGAUUAGAUACCCUGGUAGUCCACGCCGUAAACGAUGUCGACCAGCCGUUGGGUGCCUAGCGCACUUUGUGGCGAAGUUAACGCGAUAAGUCGACCGCCUGGGGAGUACGGCCGCAAGGUUAAAACUCAAAUGAAUUGACGGGGGCCCGCACAAGCGGUGGAGCAUGUGGUUUAAUUCGAUGCAACGCGAAGAACCUUACCUACUCUUGACAUCCUGCGAAUUUGGUAGAGAUACCUUAGUGCCUUCGGGAACGCAGAGACAGGUGCUGCAUGGCUGUCGUCAGCUCGUGUUGUGAAAUGUUGGGUUAAGUCCCGUAACGAGCGCAACCCUUGUCCUUAUUUGCCAGCGCGUAAUGGCGGGAACUCUAAGGAGACUGCCGGUGACAAACCGGAGGAAGGUGGGGACGACGUCAAGUCAUCAUGGCCCUUACGAGUAGGGCUACACACGUGCUACAAUGGUCGGUACAAAGGGUUGCCAACUCGCGAGAGUGAGCCAAUCCCGAAAAGCCGAUCUCAGUCCGGAUCGGAGUCUGCAACUCGACUCCGUGAAGUCGGAAUCGCUAGUAAUCGUGGAUCAGAAUGCCACGGUGAAUACGUUCCCGGGCCUUGUACACACCGCCCGUCACACCAUGGGAGUGGACUGCACCAGAAGUGGUUAGCCUAACGCAAGAGGGCGAUCACCACGGUGUGGUUCAUGACUGGGGUGAGUGUAGAUACAAAGAAAAAAAAUCGG
rnacentral:rRNA from 1 species